rnacentral:tRNA from 1 species
GACACGGUGGCGCAGUGGGUAGUGCUGUUGCCUCACAGCAAAAGAUUGCUGGUUCGAGUCCAGGCUGGGUCA